CCUAGCUGGUCUGAGAGGAUGACCAGCCACACUGGAACUGAGACACGGUCCAGACUCCUACGGGAGGCAGCAGUGGGGAAUAUUGCACAAUGGGCGCAAGCCUGAUGCAGCCAUGCCGCGUGUAUGAAGAAGGCCUUCGGGUUGUAAAGUACUUUCAGCGGGGAGGAAGGGAGUAAAGUUAAUACCUUUGCUCAUUGACGUUACCCGCAGAAGAAGCACCGGCUAACUCCGUGCCAGCAGCCGCGGUAAUACGGAGGGUGCAAGCGUUAAUCGGAAUUACUGGGCGUAAAGCGCACGCAGGCGGUUUGUUAAGUCAGAUGUGAAAUCCCCGGGCUCAACCUGGGAACUGCAUCUGAUACUGGCAAGCUUGAGUCUCGUAGAGGGGGGUAGAAUUCCAGGUGUAGCGGUGAAAUGCGUAGAGAUCUGGAGGAAUACCGGUGGCGAAGGCGGCCCCCUGGACGAAGACUGAC
rnacentral:rRNA from 1 species